rnacentral:lncRNA from 1 species
AAAGGUACUAAGUAGAUGGCAAAGUUAGAAAAGAUCUUUUUUAUCCUUUUCCUCAGUGGUAUGUUCCCAGAAUGCUAAGGACUUGUAAUUCCUUUAACCCCAAAUAAUUAUGCAGGAAACACUGCCAUUUGUGUUUCCUCAGGGACCCUUGACUACACCUCCAGAUAUAGAUGUGUCAUUGGGUAUAAAAUUAUUUAAUUUUUGUAAAUACUAUCACCCUCUUUCAAUUAGAGUUCAAUAAUGUUUUUCCACUAUAUUUCACCAUGUCCCCCCGUCUGGUCUCGAACUCCUGAGCUCGCGCCCCACUCCACCCCUCCACCGAGGUCUCUGCCCGGAAGUAUGUAAAGGGACUGGGAAAAUAAAGAGGGCUACAUGCACCAAAGUUAAAUACCAUUUUACACGGAUUUGCCUCUUUUAACCUGUUGUUUUUAAAUUGUAUAAUACCUGGUAUUGUGUGGUAGCUUCUGGUUUUGCUUCAGCAUUCAGAGUCUUUCUCUUUUUAAGAAGGCCACAAUGUCAGAACAAAUUUGACAUUUGAGAAACAUAAAAAUAAGAGUAAAAGCUGCUAAUAUUUAUUGAAAGCUUACUAUGUGCCAGGGACAUACAUAUUAAGUGCCUGGGGUCACUUGGCUAGACAGGGACAGAGCUGGGAUGUGAAGCCAGAUAGACUG